GCCCGCUUGGCUUAGGGGUAAAGCGUAUCACUCGUAUCGCAUAAAACCAACGUCUGCGAUGAUAAGAUCAGUCGUUCGAAUCGGCUAGUGGGCA